ACAAACAAACAAAAAUCUAAUGAAGUAUUAAACAACAUAUUCUAGAACAUGCUCUGGAACUGUCAUUCAGAAAUUUCUUGAACUUUUUAAAGACUGUGACGACUGAUGGUGUUGGUGAGCUAGUGGAGUAAUGGGCACGUCCUGAUUUUGCCAAGUCCGUGAUGCCCUGAGACCAAUAUUUUUUUAUGAUGACCCUGGGACAACAACUUCCUCAGCCAAUCAGCGUUUAUGACGUCACCAAUACGCGCGACCCAAUUACUAUCACCAUUUUGCAGAGUCCGCCAAAAUACAAAAUAAACAACGGUUUGCAUCUGCACCGCACCAGUGGCAAAAUCAGGAUGUGCCACCAGCAAAAAAGAUUUGUGGGGAUUUCACAGCAGAAAUUGUAAUAUUAGUUUGAAUUGCCAAGUUACCCGCGUUACCCUUUCACUGAUAUUUUGACAUUAGAGAUGGGGGAAUUUAUAAAAACAACAGUCUACAAAGAUAAGCGCUUUAAAGGAAACAAAAGAGAGACAGAUAUAACAGUCCAUGUUUUAGAAAAUCAUUUGGAUGCCUGUAAAUUUAUUCAGUAAAGACUCACUGCUAUAAACGCAUCCAAAGACGCCAACUUCAGGACUGUGAAUUCUACAAGUCUUCAAAAUCAAAAACAUGGAUAUUUCUUAUUUUUAUGUAAGCGCUCUGGAGCAUGCACUCAACGAAGUCGACGUGCCAAAGGAUGCAAGGCCUAUGUUUCUUUUAAAAAGAGGACAGACUGGCUCAACAAACUAGUUAUAGUCGAAAAGCCUUUACAACAUUCAUUCAGGUCAUGACCCAUCAAGUUCUUCUGAGGGACACAUUAAGAAAACAUUAGUCAAGAGCUUAUCAAGCAUAUACAGGAUUUAAUAUCUCUUGGUGUUAAACCAGAUACAAUUCUCCUAAAAUCAUAUGAGUGGUCACGGGAACAAGGACAUACUGAUCUCAACAACCGAGCUUAUUUUGUUACCCCAAAAGACAUUGAAAAUAUUCGGACAUAUAUGAUGAGAAAAAAACAGCAACACAAAGAUGAUGCCACUAGUACCCCACAGCUUCUAUAGGGCCCUUUUAAAGCCUUAUAGUCCUCAAACAGAUCUUAUCAUAGUUCUCCAAAUACCAUCCAUGAAAGACAACCUUCAUGAAUAUGGAAGAGAGAUUGUUUUUAUGGAUGCGACACAUGGUGUCAACCAGUAUGGUUUUCCUUUAUUUACAUUAGUUGUCAGAGACAGUCAUGGUCAUGGAAUCCCUGUUGCCUAUAUCAUCUUGGGAAACUUUGUGAUGCAGACAAGUCACGUAAAAUACGUUCACUGUUUGCAAACAGAAAAAAAAAAACCAGACAGAAAAACAACCCCAGAAACAAUGACAGAUGUCACAUUAAGAUUUCCUGUUAAGUCAAAUAGAAAACGCAAAGCUAACGG